GUUUGUUUUUUUUUCUUUUUUUUGAGAUGGAGUCUCACUUUGUCACCCAGGCUGGAGUGCAGUGGCAUGAUCUUGGCUCACUGCAACCUCCACCUCCUGAGUUCAAGCAAUUCUCCUGCCUCAGCCUCCUGAGUAGUAGGGACUACCAGCUUACACUACCACGCCCAGCUGAUGUUUGUAUUUUUAGUAGAGACGGGGUUUCAUCAUAUUGGCCAGGCUGGUCUUGAACUCCUGACCUCAAGUGAUCCACCCGCCUCGGCCUCCCAAAGUGGUGGGAUUACAGGCAUGAGCCACCGCACCCGCCUAAGAAGGUGCUUUUGAGGUGACAACAGUGUUCUAAAUCUUAACUGGGAUUGUGGUUACAUGGGUCUAUACACUUAUUGGACUACUGAACCAUACAUUGUAAAUGGUUAUACUGUAUUGUAUGUAAGUUACACGAGAAUAAAGAUGAUUUAGAGAGUUAGAAACAAAACAAGAAUGAAGAAUGAUGCUUGUUUUGCUCACCAUCUAGCAGAAAAGCCAGACAUACAAAUAAUCAUCAAACAGUGGGAUGAGUGUUCAAAGUAUGUU
rnacentral:lncRNA from 1 species